rnacentral:rRNA from 1 species
GACGAACGCUGGCGGCGUGCUUAACACAUGCAAGUCGAACGGAAAGGCCCUGCUUUUGUGGGGUGCUCGAGUUGCGAACGGGUGAGUAACACGUGAGUAACCUGCCCUUGACUUUGGGAUAACUUCAGGAAACUGGGUCUAAUACCGGAUAGGAGCUCCUGCUGCAUGGUGGGGGUGGGAAAGUUUCGGCGGUUGGUGAUGGACUCGCGGCUUAUCAGCUUGUUGGUGGGGUAGUGGGUUACCAAGGCUUUGACGGGUAGCCGGCCUGAGAGGGUGACCGGCCACAUUGGGACUGAGAUACGGCACAGACCCCUACGGGAGGCAGCAGUGGGGAAUAUUGCACAAUGGGCGGAAGCCUGAUGCAGCAACGCCGCGUGCGGGAUGACGGCCUUCGGGUUGUAAACCGCUUUCGCCUGUGACGAAGCGUGAGUGACGGUAAUGGGUAAAGAAGCACCGGCUAACUACGUG